GGAGAAGUGACCGAGUGGCCGAUGGUGCAUGUUUGGAAAACAUGUUCGCAUAAUCUUUGCGACAAGGGUUCGAAUCCCUUCUUCUCCG
rnacentral:tRNA from 1 species